rnacentral:rRNA from 2 species
CCUACGGGAGGCAGCAGUGGGGAAUUUUGGACAAUGGGCGCAAGCCUGAUCCAGCAAUGCCGCGUGCAGGAAGAAGGCCUUCGGGUUGUAAACUGCUUUUGUCAGGGAAGAAAUCCUCUGGGUUAAUACCUCGGGGGGAUGACGGUACCUGAAGAAUAAGCACCGGCUAACUACGUGCCAGCAGCCGCGGUAAU